rnacentral:rRNA from 1 species
UACAGAGGGGGCAAGCGUUGUUCGGAAUUACUGGGCGUAAAGGGCGCGUAGGUGGCCUUCUAAGUUGAACGUGAAAUCCCUGGGCUCAACCCAGGAACUGCGUCCAAGACUGGGAGGCUUGAAUCCGGGAGAGGGAUGCGGAAUUCCAGGUGUAGCGGUGAAAUGCGUAGAUAUCUGGAGGAACACCGGUGGCGAAGGCGGCAUCCUGGACCGGUAUUGACGCUGAGACGCGAAAGCGUGGGGAGCGAACAGG